AUACGUAGGUGACAAGCGUUAUCCGGAUUUACUGGGCGUAAAGGGCGUGUAGGCGGUCUUGCAAGUCAGAAGUGAAUUUCCUGAGCUCAACUCGGGCGCUGCUUCUGAAACUGCAGGACUUGAGUGCUGGAGGGGAUAGCGGAAUUCCUAGGGGAGCGGUAAAAUGCGCAGAUAUUAGGAAGUACACCGGUGGCGAAGGCGGCUAUCUGGACAGUAACUGACGCUGAGGCGCGAAAGUGUGGGGAGCAAACAGGAUUAGAUACCCUGGUAGUCCACACUGUAAACGAUGAAUGCUAGGUGUAGGGGGUAUCGACCCCUUCUGUGCCGCAGUCAACACAAUAAGCAUUCCGCCUGGGGAGUACGGCCGCAAGGUUGAAACUCAAAUGAAUUGGCGGGG
rnacentral:rRNA from 1 species